rnacentral:pre_miRNA from 1 species
UGUGUACCCCCUCCGUUCCAAAAUACUUGACUUCCAUUUGUCCAAAAAUGGAUGUACCUAUAUACUAAAACAUGUCUAGAUACAUCUAUAUUUUGACAAAUAGAAGGCAUGUAUUGUGGAACGGAGGGAAUGGAUG